rnacentral:rRNA from 1 species
UACGUAGGGGGCAAGCGUUGUCCGGAAUCAUUGGGCGUAAAGCGCGCGUAGGCGGCCCGGUAAGUCCGCUGUAAAAGUCCAGGGCUCAACCCUGGAAAGCCGGUGGAUACUGUCGGGCUAGAGUCCGGAAGAGGCGAGUGGAAUUCCUGGUGUAGCGGUGGAAUGCGCAGAUAUCAGGAGGAACACCGAUGGCGAAGGCAGCUCGCUGGGACGGUACUGACACUGAGGCGCGAAAGCGUGGGGAGCGAACAGG